rnacentral:ncRNA from 1 species
GCGAGCGCCUCCUGAAUAAUCGGGCACCACAAAGGAAACUUUGUGCGUGAAUGUGGUUAAACUCGGUGAAGCCUAAAAAGUGCGUGUAGUACUUCAUGGUAAUACCAAGCCAAGCCUAAUCGUUAUACACAGAUAAAUGUGUAUAAAUUUAGGAAGGUCUAGAGACUAAACAGCCACCACCUAAAGGUAUCCAGACACCUAUGGUGAAGAUAUAGUCCGGAGAGUGGGGAAACUCACAC